UACGUAGGGUGCGAGCAUUGUCCGGAAUUAUUGGGCGUAAAGAGCUCGUAGGCGGCCUGUCACGUCGGAUGUGAAAGCCCGGGGCUUAACCCCGGGUCUGCAUUCGAUACGGGCAGGCUAGAGUGCGGUAGGGGAGACUGGAAUUCCUGGUGUAGCGGUGAAAUGCGCAGAUAUCAGGAGGAAUACCGAUGGCGAAGGCAGGUCUCUGGGCUGACACUGACGCUCAUGCACGAAAGCGUGGGGAGCAAACAGG
rnacentral:rRNA from 1 species